CUACGGGUGGCUGCAGUGAGGAAUAUUGCACAAUGGGGGGAACCCUGAUGCAGCAACGCCGCGUGGAGGAUGACGCAUUUCGGUGUGUAAACUCCUUUUAUAUGUCAAGAAAAUGACGGUAGCAUAUGAAUAAGAACCGGCUAACUCCGUGCCAGCAGCCGCGGUAAUACGGAGGGUGCAAGCGUUACUCGGAAUCACUGGGCGGAAAGGACGCGUAGGCGGGUUGGAAAGUCAGGUGUGAAAUCCUACAGCUUAACUGUAGAACUGCACUUGAAACUUCUAAUCUAGAGUAUGGGAGGGGGAGAUGGAAUUAGUGGUGUAGGGGUAAAAUCCGUAGAUAUCACUAGGAAUACCUAAAGCGAAGGCGAUCUCCUGGAACAUUACUGACGCUAAGGCGUGAAAGCGUGGGGAGCAAACAGGAUUAGAUACCCGAGUAGUC
rnacentral:rRNA from 1 species